ACACAAUCCAAUGCAAGUAAGUCAUAUUGAGCAGGAAUAGAAACAGCUAUAGAGUCUAUGAAUGGUGAUAACUGGUUUUCUCUUACAGGUUUCCAGACAUAACACACCAGACGAGACGAGGAGAUGGAUGACUGGGUUUCGAUUUGGAUGACUUGGAACAGGAAAAUCCCAGAUAAGUUUGCAGGUGGUAGGCCAGGCCAGCCCUGCUGCUCCUGCUCAGACUGGGGCAGGACUCUGGAGUCGUGGAAGGUCAGGUGUCCAGACUGAGUUACAGCCCUGACAGCUGGUUGCCCACAGAUUGAUGGGUUUCUUUUUUGAUGAAGAGUGUAUGAAGAUCUUUUCUGCUUCUCGGGCCACACAGGUACUGAUUCUCCCAUUGUCUCUGCUCGUAAAGCACAAUAAUGUGUUCCGUUGC